GAUGAAGAACGCAGCGAAAUGCGAUAAGUAAUGUGAAUUGGAGAAUUCAGUGAAUCAUCGAAUCUUUGAACGCACAUUGCGCCCGCCAGUAUUCUGGCGGGCAUGCCUGUUCGAGCGUCAUUACAACCCUCAGGCCCCCGGGCCUGGCGUUGGGGAUCGGCGGAAGCCCCCUGCGGGCACAACGCCGUCCCCCAAAUACAGUGGCGGUCCCGCCGCAGCUUCCAUUGCGUAGUAGCUAACACCUCGCAACUGGAGAGCGGCGCGGCCACGCCGUAAAACACCCAACUUCUGAAUGUUGACCUCGAAUCAGGUAGGAAUACCCGCUGAACUUAAGCAUAUCAAUAAGCGGAGGA
rnacentral:misc_RNA from 1 species